CUCCGCCGCAAACUUUUUCCACCCCAUCCUGUCGCGGCUCGAAAGGAAUGGAAAAUGGCGGCCUAGGAGCGGAGUUUCCUGGCGGAGCGGCGGCGGCGGCCUGGGCGGCGGGACGCGGGCGGCGGCAUGACGCGCUGGGUGCCCACCAAGCGGGAGGAGAAAUACGGCGUGGCUUUUUAUAACUAUGAUGCCAGGGGAGCGGAUGAACUUUCUUUACAAAUAGGAGACACCGUGCACAUCCUGGAAACGUAUGAAGGGUGGUACAGAGGUUACACCUUAAGGAAAAAGUCUAAGAAGGGUAUAUUUCCUGCUUCAUAUAUUCAUCUUAAAGAAGCCAUAGUUGAAGGAAAAGGGCAACAUGAAACGGUCAUCCCAGGCGACCUCCCGCUCAUACAGGAAGUCACCACAACACUGAGAGAGUGGUCCACCAUCUGGAGGCAGCUCUACGUGCAAGAUAACAGGGAGAUGUUUCGAAACGUUCGGCACAUGAUCUACGACCUUAUUGAGUGGCGAUCGCAAAUUCUUUCUGGAACUCUGCCACAGGAUGAGCUCAAAGAACUGAAGAAGAAAGUCACUGCCAAAAUUGAUUAUGGAAACAGGAUCCUUGAUUUGGACUUGGUGGUGAGAGAUGAAGAUGGGAACAUUCUGGAUCCAGAACUAACUAGCACGAUUAGUCUUUUCAGAGCUCAUGAAGUAGCUUCUAAACAAGUGGAGGAAAGAUUACAAGAAGAAAAGUCUCAAAAGCAGAACAUAGACAUUAACAGACAAGCCAAGUUUGCUGCCACCCCUUCUCUGGCCUUGUUUGUUAACCUCAAAAACGUGGUGUGUAAAAUCGGAGAAGAUGCUGAAGUGCUCAUGUCUCUGUAUGACCCAGUGGAGUCCAAGUUCAUCAGUGAAAACUACCUGGUUCGCUGGUCAAGUUCAGGAUUGCCUAAAGAUAUAGACAGAUUACAUAACUUGCGAGCUGUCUUCACUGAUCUCGGAAGCAAAGACCUGAAACGGGAGAAAAUCAGUUUUGUGUGUCAGAUCGUUCGAGUGGGUCGCAUGGAACUGAGAGACAAUAACACAAGGAAGCUGACCUCCGGCUUGCGGCGGCCUUUCGGGGUGGCUGUGAUGGAUGUAACAGAUAUAAUAAAUGGAAAAGUAGAUGAUGAAGACAAACAGCAUUUCAUUCCCUUUCAGCCGCUCGCGUUGGACGACGCCAUUCGACACAAGCCGCUGAACAUGUCAUCCCGUUUUUCACCCAGGGUGGCGGGGGAGAAUGACUUCCUUCAGACUGUUAUAAACAAAGUCAUUGCUGCCAAAGAAGUCAACCACAAGGGCCAGGGUUUGUGGGUAACAUUGAAAUUACUUCCUGGAGAUAUCCAUCAGAUUAGAAAAGAAUUUCCUCAUUUGGUGGACAGGACCACAGCAGUGGCUCGGAAAACGGGGUUUCCGGAGAUAAUCAUGCCUGGUGAUGUCCGAAACGAUAUCUACGUAACAUUAGUUCAAGGAGAUUUUGAUAAAGGAAGCAAAACGACGGCAAAGAAUGUUGAGGUUACAGUGUCUGUUUACGAUGAAGAUGGAAAACGACUGGAGCAUGUGAUUUUCCCGGGCGCUGGCGAUGAAGCUAUUUCAGAAUACAAGUCCGUGAUUUAUUACCAAGUGAAACAGCCGCGCUGGUUUGAGACGGUUAAGGUGGCCAUCCCCAUUGAGGACGUGAACCGCAGUCACCUCCGGUUUACCUUCCGACAUAGAUCGUCCCAGGACUCUAAGGAUAAAUCCGAGAAGAUAUUCGCACUCGCUUUUGUAAAGCUGAUGCGCUACGAUGGGACCACCCUAAGAGACAGGGAACAUGAUCUUAUUGUCUAUAAGGCCGAAGCGAAGAAGCUGGAAGACGCCGGCACGUACUUGAGCCUGCCGUCCACCAAAGCUGAGUUGGAAGAGAAGGGCCACUCGGCGACGGGGAAGAGCAUGCAGAGUCUUGGGAGCUGCACCAUCAGUAAAGAUUCCUUCCAGAUCUCAACUCUCGUGUGCUCCACCAAACUGACCCAGAACGUGGACCUGCUGGGGCUGCUGAAGUGGCGAUCCAACACCAGCCUGCUGCACCAGAACCUGAGACAGCUGAUGAAGGUGGAUGGCGGCGAAGUGGUGAAGUUCCUCCAGGACACCUUGGAUGCACUCUUCAACAUCAUGAUGGAGAAUUCGGAGAGCGAGACCUUUGAUACAUUAGUGUUUGAUGCUCUGGUAUUUAUCAUUGGACUAAUUGCCGAUAGAAAAUUUCAGCAUUUUAAUCCUGUUUUGGAAACCUACAUUAAGAAACACUUUAGUGCAACAUUAGCCUACACGAAGCUGACGAAAGUUUUAAGGAACUAUGUGGACAAUGCCGAGAGGCCAGGAAUCAGCGACCAGCUGUAUAAAGCCAUGAAAGCUUUAGAGUACAUCUUCAAGUUCAUCGUGCGCUCCCGGAUCCUGUUCAAUCAGCUGUACGAAAACAAAGGAGAGGCCGAUUUCGUGGAGUCCUUGGUGCAGCUGUUCCGGUCCAUCAGCGACAUGAUGAGCGGCGUGUCAGACCAGACCGUCCGGGUGAAGGGUGCAGCGCUGAAAUACUUGCCAACCAUUGUCAACGAUGUGAAAUUGGUAUUUGAUCCCAAAGAGCUCAGCAAAAUGUUUACUGAUUUCAUCCUAAAUGUUCCCGUGGGUUUGCUGACCAUUCAGAAGCUAUAUUGCUUGAUUGAAAUAAUUCACAGUGACCUCUUCACACAGCAUGACUGCAGAGAGAUCCUGCUUCCCAUGAUGACGGAUCAGCUCAAGUACCAUCUGGAGAGACAGGAAGAUCUGGAGGCCUGCUGCCAGCUGCUCAGCAACAUCCUGGAGGUUCUGUACAGGAAGGACGUGGGACCAACUCAGAGGCAUGUCCAGAUUAUCAUGGAGAAGCUUCUCCGGACAGUGAACCGAACCGUCAUUUCCAUGGGACGGGAUUCCGAACUCAUCGGAAACUUCGUGGCCUGUAUGACAGCUAUUUUACGACAAAUGGAAGAUUAUCAUUAUGCCCAUUUGAUCAAGACUUUUGGGAAAAUGAGGACCGAUGUGGUGGAUUUUCUGAUGGAAACAUUCAUCAUGUUUAAGAACCUCAUUGGGAAGAAUGUCUACCCUUUCGACUGGGUGAUCAUGAACAUGAUGCAGAAUAAAGUCUUUCUGCGAGCGAUUAAUCAGUAUGCAGAUAUGCUGAACAAAAAAUUUCUGGAUCAAGCCAACUUUGAGCUGCAGCUGUGGAACAACUAUUUUCACCUGGCUGUCGCUUUCCUCACUCAAGAGUCCUUGCAGCUGGAGAAUUUUUCAAGUGCAAAGAGAGGGAAAAUCCUUAACAAGUACGGAGAUAUGAGGAGACAGAUUGGCUUCGAAAUCAGGGACAUGUGGUACAACCUUGGUCAACACAAGAUAAAGUUCAUUCCAGAAAUGGUCGGCCCAAUAUUAGAAAUGACACUGAUUCCUGAGACAGAGCUUCGCAAAGCCACCAUCCCCAUCUUCUUUGACAUGAUGCAGUGUGAAUUCCAUUCCACCCGAAGCUUCCAGAUGUUUGAAAAUGAGAUCAUCACCAAGCUGGAUCAUGAAGUGGAAGGAGGUAGAGGCGAUGAGCAGUACAAAGUGUUAUUUGAUAAAAUUCUCUUAGAGCACUGCAGGAAGCACAAAUACCUUGCCAAAACGGGAGAAACUUUUGUAAAGCUCGUCGUGCACCUGAUGGAAAGACUUCUGGAUUACAGAACCAUCAUGCAUGAUGAGAACAAAGAAAAUCGCAUGAGCUGCACUGUCAACGUGCUGAAUUUCUACAAAGAGAUUGAAAGAGAAGAAAUGUAUAUAAGGUAUUUGUACAAGCUCUGUGACCUGCACAAGGAAUGUGAUAACUACACUGAAGCAGCCUAUACCUUGCUUCUCCAUGCGAAGCUUCUGAAGUGGUCGGAGGACGUGUGCGCGGCCCACCUCACCCAGCGGGACGGGUACCAGGCGACAACACAGGGACAGCUGAAAGAGCGGCUCUACCAGGAAAUCAUCCACUACUUCGACAAAGGCAAGAUGUGGGAAGAGGCCAUCGCCCUGGGCAAGGAACUGGCUGAACAGUAUGAAAACGAGAUAUUUGAUUAUGAACAACUUAGCGAAUUGCUGAAAAAACAGGCUCAAUUUUAUGAAAACAUCGUCAAGGUGAUAAGACCCAAGCCUGACUAUUUUGCCGUCGGUUACUACGGACAAGGAUUCCCCACGUUCCUUCGGGGGAAAGUUUUCAUUUACCGUGGGAAGGAGUAUGAACGCCGGGAAGAUUUUGAAGCUCGGCUAUUAACUCAGUUUCCAAAUGCUGAGAAAAUGAAGACAACAUCUCCACCAGGCGACGAUAUUAAAAACUCUGCUGGCCAAUAUAUUCAAUGCUUCACAGUAAAGCCCAAACUCGAUUUGCCCCCUAAGUUUCACAGGCCCGUGUCAGAGCAGAUUGUAAGUUUUUACAGAGUAAACGAGGUCCAGCGAUUUGAAUAUUCUCGUCCGAUCCGCAAGGGAGAGAAAAACCCAGACAACGAAUUUGCGAAUAUGUGGAUCGAAAGGACCAUAUACACAACUGCGUAUAAAUUGCCUGGCAUUUUAAGGUGGUUUGAGGUCAAAUCUGUUUUCAUGGUGGAGAUCAGCCCCCUGGAGAACGCCAUCGAGACCAUGCAGCUGACGAACGACAAGAUAAACAGCAUGGUGCAGCAGCACCUGGACGACCCCAGCCUCCCUGUCAGCCCCCUCUCCAUGCUCCUGAACGGCAUCGUGGACCCCGCCGUCAUGGGAGGCUUUGCAAAUUACGAAAAGGCCUUCUUUACAGAGCGGUACCUGCAGGAGCACCCCGAGGCCCACGAAAAGAUCGAGAAGCUCAAGGACCUGAUUGCAUGGCAGAUUCCAUUUUUGGCCGAAGGGAUCAGGAUUCAUGGAGACAAAGUCACAGAAGCACUACGGCCAUUUCAUGAGAGAAUGGAAGCCUGUUUCAAACAGUUAAAGGAAAAAGUGGAGAAGCAGUACGGAGUCCGGACCAUGCCCUCAAGUCUGGACGACAGAAGAGGCAGCCGUCCCCGGUCCAUGGUCCGAUCCUUCACAAUGCCUUCCUCGUCCCGGCCUCUGUCUGUGGCCUCUGUCUCGUCCCUGUCAUCAGACAGCACCCCUUCCAGGCCGGGCUCCGACGGGUUUGCUCUGGAGCCCCUCCUGCCAAAGAAAAUGCACUCCCGGUCCCAGGACAAGCUAGACAAGGACGACCCAGAUAAAGAGAAGAAGGACAAGAAGAAGGAAAAAAGGAACAGCAAACAUCAAGAGAUAUUUGAUAAAGAAUUUAAACCCACCGACAUUCCCCUGCAGCAAUCUGAGGCUGUGAUCCUUUCAGAAACGAUAAGUCCCCUGCGGCCCCAGAGACCGAAGAGCCAGGUGAUCAACGUCAUGGGCAGUGAAAGGCGCUUCUCGGUGUCACCGUCCUCCCCGUCCUCCCAGCACACGCCUCCUCCGGUCACACCGAGGGCCAAGCUCAGCUUCAGCCUGCAGUCCAGUUUGGAGCUGAAUGGCAUGACUGGACUGGACGUGGCUGAGGUUCCGCCCCCUCUGCCUCUCAAAGGCACCAGCGCAGACUACGGGGCCUUGACCGAGAACCUGGACCUGACAGGCCUGCCGAGCCCCCCGCCCCCUCCUCCUCAGCAGAGGGUAAGUCAGGACUCGGGGCGUCGGUGGCUCACAUCCUUCUCCGCACCAGGUACAAACCCCUCCUUCCUGGUGUUAGCGUGUUGACUCUGGGCAAGCCGAGAUGUGAUUCCGAGCAGAGGUCACAGUGGAUGGAACGUCGGCGCGUGUGGUCUGUCGUUCUGUGUCCUCGCUGCAGGGACGCACUUUCCCACGGGGCCCUCAGGACGAGGCAAAGGGGGAAGAACUCCAGCCAGUGGAUCGAAGGGCCACUCUCGUGACCUUGGAGGUCACUGCACUUCUUAGGAAAGUGUGGUGUUGAGAAGUAGCUUUUGUAUGAAGAGGUUUGUCUGACUUUUUAAGAAGCCGGCCGAUGCCACACGUGGUCGGGGGCCUGUGCUCCUGGACACCAGCCUCGCUCUUGAGAAGCCCAGGUCCCGGCAGUUCCUCCAGGCAGCCCCACCCUCGCACCGGCCACUCCCGGGUGGGGACAGGCAUUUGCUGCACAGAGAAUCUGCAGAGGAGAAGCAAGGUGGGGCAAACCCUGUUCCCCGAGGCCACCCAUCCCUAGCCACACCUCUAGCCCUGAAACCUACUCCACCCCGUUUAGAUUCGGGGUGCUGGCUGCCACAAGCAUGGUCUGCCAACUCGAACCCUCGUCAACACUGGUGCCCAGGCUAGUCCCCCCUCGGAGACCGUCAUUAAUCGUGUCUGAUGUGCUCACUGCUCUGGCCUCUGGGCCUGCCUACUUAUGCAAACGUCAGCUAAAAGCCUGAAAAAAACACCUAAACCCGUGCCUCUGUUACCGGCUCACGGCUCUAGAAACGUCCUUUUGAGAUCCCCCCGCAUUCUCUCCUGCUUCUUAAGGCUGCUGUCACACAGGCCUCUCCUUUGUUCACUGGCCCGGCUGCGUGCAGAGGUCCGCGUGCCCACGUGAAAUGACCCAGCAGCGCCGGGUGAUCGCAUCCAGGUUCAUCCCUCCCCCAGCCACGCUAUUCACAGCCUAAUGAAAUUAAAGCCAUGCAGGCUGAGGAGUAGAAUAUCCCCGAUCACACGUGCAGCUGGUCAGCCUCUAUAACGUAAUUAUACGGCAACAGAACUCCUGUAGAAGAACAUCGAAGACAUGAGGUAGUCAUGUGGCCACGAUUCUUUUCAUAACAGCAAGCUGUGUUUUUUCCCCUUCUAAAACAAUAUAAAUCCUGCAUUCUUUUUUCUUUCUUUUUUUUUUUAAUGGAGACUUUUUCACUGAGCUUUCUGCAAGUUUAUUAUCUUCUUGUGAGAGGAGCAGAAGAAAGAGGGGGUUUAUUGACAGUAUAUUUAUGCGAUUAUUCCUCUUGCGUAAGAAAACCAGACAAGCGGUGGGGCUUCCUCUUUGGUGCUGAAGGGGUGGUUCGUGCUUCCAAGGCUGCAGUGCCUUUCGGGUCAGCCCUCUGUCCCUCGAGAUUCCAUGAUGGGGGACCGGCCGGAGAAGGGACCCGGUGCCCCAUGAUGGCUUUUUAGGAAGCUGGAACAGUUUGUAGCAACUAAGGAAAUGUAAGUCUGACCCUUCCCGCGAGUUUCACGACAGGUUAGAAUAAAAAGAGACGCAGGGAGUUGAGAGAGAUCGUUGAUUGGUUGAAGUGUUGUUUUCUUAACAGCGUAGUUAACCAUCUUGAUUUUCAUAUCUUUAUUUUAUCGGAAAAGCAAGAAUGUCCCCCAGGUCUCCCUACACUGAAAAUUCUGAACUUGGAAGUGUGAAGCAAGUCCAUUUUUGUUACAAAUCAAUUCAGGGGCAACAUUUGAUGGUCUCGGCUUCUGGGACACAUCCUCUGAGUUACUGCUGCCACUGCUGUUGGAGGAAGGACAAACAUGCACAAGCUUCGGCUCCAUUUAUAAAGGGGUGUGAGUUCCAUGAGAUUAAUUACCCAAGUCGCCUUGCUCUCGGUGUCUUGUAUGACAUACCUGCAGUGUGAGUACCCCUUCAGGAGGCAUGCCUCUGGGUUAGCGUGUCAUCUCUGGAAGCAGCUGGGUUUCCAGGGGUGCCUCCCUUUCGGGCCCCAAGAGCUGUUGUGGGAUAAUGAUCGGUUCGCCCUCCAUGGGGGCUGAUACAUGUCCUCCUGUCACUCUCAUUGAUCAGCCUCGGGCUUGUAGUCAACUCUCUCUCUAGUUGUUGCCAGUUUAAGCUGUCGUUUCUUUCAAAAUGCCUGUUACGACCGGUAGUCCGAGCUCCCGAGCCGCCCAGUGGUGAUGAACCCACCAUGCACGUCUUUGGCACAGAGGGCAGUUCCGACCGCCGCCUGGCCCCGCGCCGCUCACACCGGCCCGCACUGUUUACUUCCAUGUGUCAGCAAGCAAACGCCUCAACAGAGCCAGAAAUCGCAUCUCCCCCCUCCGCUGCCCAGCAAGACCCCACCGCCACCGCCUCCCAAGACGACGCGCAAGCAGACCUCAGUGGACUCCGGGAUCGUGCAGUGAAUGUGCAGCGC